ACAUGCAGGGGAAAAAAAGACCACCAAGGCAAACGUUCAUCCGCCACUAAAACUAGUCCCCAGCUUCUUUCUAAACCAGGGGUGUCCAAAGUGCAGCCAGGGGGCCAUGUUUGGUUUUAUUGGUCCUCGGCAUAGAGUAGAAAUAAAAAUGAAGUGAUUAAUACUGAGAUAUAUUAUUGGAUGCUAUCAGUUUUACCACACAGUAAGAUGUGGAUGUUUUGCCAUGGAAGCCGUUUGGACACCCCUGGUCUAAGCUCUUCUCCGCCCCCUAUUAUGUCACAUGACUGCAUCCAUGGCUCCAUGUCGGCGCGUCCAAUGAGAGAGUUAGUGGAUGAGAAGGUGUUAGAGAGGAGGAAGUGCUACAAGUCAGCAACACUGUGGGAGGAAGAGGACAUGUUCAGUAUGUUAGUGAUGGUGGGACAUGUUAGUUGACACGCGGCGGCCACCAGGUGGCACCCCUCACCUCCUCGUCGCUCUCGGUCUCCGUCGUCGUCGUCUUCUUCUUCUUCUUCUUCUUCUUCUUCUCGUCCUCGCUCUUCUUCUUCUCCCUGUCAGGGAGGAGGUCGUCCAGCCAGGCCAGGUCGUGCUGGGAGAACAUCAGGUCCAGAAGCUUCCGCACCACCAUAAGACCCAGGAUCUGCACGCAGACCGAUCAAUCAUAGCAACCCAGCCUUUGGGGGAUUAAGCAGCAAACUUUCACCUCUGAGAAAACAUUCACUUCAGACUGGCUGUUGGCAGCAGGAAGUGGAAGUUCAACUGAAGGUCACAGACUCACGCAGGCGUCCCAGGCUGCUGGCGUGUCGCGAGCGCAGGUCAUCAGUGGAUCGAUGGAUGGCGGAAGUAGUACUAGUGCUACGACUCAGCGCGCCCUGAGGACUACGGUCUGAGCGCACAGGAGGUGGAGUCAGGGCCAAGGAGGCGGAGCAAGCGUGGCGGUGUUAGCAGCGGACAAAGCGCAAAGAAAGUUUUGGACGGGAGCGAGUGCUUACUGGCGGCGCCGGAGGAGGACUUCCCGAUGUCGGCCAGCGAGCGAUGGAUGGGCUUCUUGGUCUGAUGGCGGUGUCGUCGUAGCAACACGAAGCUGAUCUUCUCCUUCAGGUCCUCCGAGACCAGGCCGUCGGCGAUCUGCCGCUCCACGAUCUCGUCUGCGAGGGUCACAUGACGUUAGCGCCGGCACACGGAGCGUGGGGGCCACGAGGCCGAGCACUCACCCACGAUGUGUGGCAGCGAGAAGGCGUCCAAGUCCAGCAGGAUGCUUCCAGUCUGGAGACAUGUCCGCAGCUCGAAGAGGCUGUGCAGCGUCAGCGUGGACACGUGUGGUUUGCUCCAGCGCUCGCCGCCCUCCUCCACCUUCUCCUCGAACUUCACCCACCUGUGAGGACCACACAGUCAGCACGCCACGGCCCCACGGGGCCAAAGAGGGAGGCGCACCUGGCCGACUCCUUCCACUCCAGCUCGCCGCCCUCCUGCUGCAGCGUGUCCAUCUCCGUGAAGAUGGUGGGCGUCGGCCCGCCGUCGUCCUCCGCCAGGAUGUGACGCAGUCUCUCGGCCGCCGGUGACACUGCAAGAUGGCCGACACGCAGGUGUCAUGA